GACGUAGGAUGCAAGCGUUGUCCGGAUUUACUGGGCGUAAAGAGUUCGUAGGUGGCAUAUCAAGUCUGGUGUUAAAGACCGAAGCUCAACUUCGGAAAGGCGCUGGAAACUGAUAAGCUAGAGUGCAGUAGAGGCAAGGGGAAUUCCCAGUGUAGCGGUGAAAUGCGUAGAUAUUGGGAGGAACACCAGUGGCGUAAGCGCCUUGCUGGGCUGUAACUGACACUGAGGAACGAAAGCCAGGGGAGCGAAUGGG
rnacentral:rRNA from 1 species